GUGAGGCUGGUCACGACUGACCGUGCACAUCACCCGCAUGUAGGGGGAUUAUAGGUGGUCGGCACGGCAAGAGGCUGUGAAGAUCUCAGCAGGCGAGGAGCAAAGGACAGAGGACUGUCUUGCUUAGAACAUGGCACCAAAGGUCAUGCCAACUACGGGUCUUUUUCUGGGUAGUCUACUCCACUGGAAACCUGCCCAGUCCUGCUGAAGAAGCUGGGUUUUGUUUGGAGAAAUGCCAAACAACUGAAGCCAAAGUAGAGAUGUAACAGGUAUGUACAGUCUUUUUCUCUUGAAUUAAGGUCUUAUGCUAUGGAAUUUUGAACUAUAGCUUAGGAUCA